rnacentral:rRNA from 1 species
UACGUAGGGACCAAGCGUUGUUCGGAUUUACUGGGCGUAAAGGGCGCGUAGGCGGCGCGGUAAGUCACUUGUGAAAUCUCUGAGCUUAACUCAGAACGGCCAAGUGAUACUGCAGUGCUAGAGUGUGGAAGGGGCAAUCGGAAUUCUUGGAGUAGCGGUGAAAUGCGUAGAUAUCAAGAGGAACACCUGAGGUGAAGACGGGUUGCUGGGCCAACACUGACGCUGAUGCGCGAAAGCCAGGGGAGCAAACGGG